rnacentral:rRNA from 1 species
UACAGAGGUGGCAAGCGUUGUUCGGAAUUACUGGGCGUAAAGGGCGCGUAGGCGGCCAUCUAAGUCAGACGUGAAAUCCCUCGGCUUAACCGGGGAACUGCGUCUGAUACUGGAUGGCUGGAGUGUGGGAGAGGGAUGCGGAAUUCCAGGUGUAGCGGUGAAAUGCGUAGAUAUCUGGAGGAACACCGAUGGCGAAGGCAGCCUCCUGGGCCAGCACUGACGCUCAUGCACGAAAGCGUGGGGAGCAAACAGG